rnacentral:rRNA from 1 species
AACGAACGCUGGCGGCAUGCCUAACACAUGCAAGUCGAACGAGACCUUCGGGUCUAGUGGCGCACGGGUGCGUAACGCGUGGGAACCUGCCCUUAGGUUCGGAAUAACUCCCCGAAAGGGGAGCUAAUACCGGAUAAUGUCUUCGGACCAAAGAUUUAUCGCCUUUGGAUGGGCCCGCGUUGGAUUAGCUAGUUGGUAGGGUAAAAGCCUACCAAGGCGACGAUCCAUAGCUGGUCUGAGAGGAUGAUCAGCCACACUGGGACUGAGACACGGCCCAGACUCCUACGGGAGGCAGCAGUGGGGAAUAUUGGACAAUGGGCGAAAGCCUGAUCCAGCAAUGCCGCGUGGGUGAUGAAGGCCUUAGGGUUGUAAAGCUCUUUUACCCGGGAUGAUAAUGACAGUACCGGGAGAAUAAGCUCCGGCUAACUCCGUG